AUGUCAAAAUUGUUAAACGUCAAAUAAAUCUUAUUUCAAAAUUUAAUAAUUUCCGCAUUUUAAAAUUGUAUUUACUUUAACAAACCCAGACGUCCAACAAAUGGCCCUGCUCAAGUAACAUAACCUAAUUGGGCCACGUAAUUUAUGGGAAAUUAAAGCUAACAUCGACGGUGCUUCGAAAAGGAGAAGUGAGAGAACCGCAGACGUUCUCAAAGAAGCCUGUUUCGGUGGUCGAUAGGUCAAUUAGUGGUUCUCGUUUUUCCCGGUUUUAUUUCUUUCGGAUAGUUUACUCAAGUUAUAAACUAAAUAAACCGCAGCUUAUUUUCGCUUUUUUAAGUUAGUGUAAAUUUCCGUUUUGGCAAAUUGGUAAAGGACGAAGUUAUAAAUUUAAGAGCGCGCGUGCCUAAACGAGAUAGAGAUCUCAGGUAGGGCGCCUUAUCGUCCAAAUUAAGUUUUUGGAUCCCGCAAGUGAGGCAGACCUAGAAGCAGAUAUAAAGAUUAGGUGAGAAAAAGUGACCAGGAAGAAAGUCUAAAAAUGCUAGGAAUUAAAAACUGGAAGGCCAAAGCACGAGAUAGAAGAGAGGAUUUUUUAUAACGAUCAAAGGAAUUUAUUGAAGUACCAUAGCGAGUGGUAAUGUGAAAUGUAACGUAGUUGACAAUUACUAUGGGGCAAUAUAAAGGACCCAUUUGUGUCAGUUUUAUAACGUUGCGUUACCGGUUGAAGGGGACAGAGAACGACGACCACGAUGAUUUUCUAAAUAAAACAGAACCAACAACCGUAAUUAACGUGCGAAGAAUUCGUGGAAAAAGGAAAUUCACCCACGCUUAUUUCUUUUUGUCAAUGCAACAAAGAAUGAAAAGGCAAACGAAUAAAUUUUGCAUCAAAUUAUCAACUAUUAUUUAAAUGUUAAUCAUUCUUUUAUUUAUUUUGUUUGUAAUUCUGAGUUCUUUCCGACGGUUUCGAACUUGUAUCGUCUUUACCCAUUUACAUACGAAAUGAGCGUCGGUUAAGUAAGCUUUGAAAAUUAUGAGUGAAAUUUGUAAAUUUUUUUUCAUCGAUAUGUAUGUUUAAGUAUAGUUAUUUACGGUACUUUGUUUUUAAAGUUAAAGUUUUUUUAUUGCAGCAUAUUUCUUUGCUGACACACGAAAUUUAGCAGUAAAUAAAGAAUCUUAAGUUACAA